rnacentral:rRNA from 1 species
AAUAGGCUAAUUAAGAGCGUAAGGGGAAUGCCUUGGCUCUCAGAGGCGAAGAAGGACGUGAUAAGCUGCGAAAAGUUGCGGGGAGUGGCACAUACAUUUUGAUCCGCAAAUGUCCGAAUGGGGAAACCCGGUUAUUUGAAGAAUAAUCAUCCAUUUAUGGAAGCUAACCCGGAGAACUGAAACAUCUAAGUACCCGGAGGAAAAGAAAACAAUAGUGAUUCCGCUAGUAGUGGCGAGCGAACGCGGAAUAGCCCAAACCUAAAUUGUUUAGGCAAUUUAGGGGUUGUAGGACCACAAUAUUUGUUGCUCAAUGAAUUAGAAUCCGUUGGAAAUCGGAA